rnacentral:lncRNA from 1 species
UUUUUUUUUUUUUUUUGUGUAAACAAAGAACUCCUGUCUUAGGCGUGGUCACGUCUAACUGCUAUAGAGUCCUCAGAACCUGCACGAAAAUUUCUUCCCCUCGGGCGUGACCACCUGGCGUGGGCACGUCUAACUGCCAUGGAGUCCGCAGAUCCUGAACGAAAAUUUCUUUCCCUCAGGCGUGACCACCUGGCGUGGGCACGUCUAACUGCCAUGGAGUCCGCAGAUCAUGAACGAAAAUUUCUUUCCCUCAGGCGUGACCACCUGCCGUGGGCACGUCUAACUGCCAAUUUCCUAUCACCAACCAUCAACCUAUUAAUUGACAUUAACACUUAACUAAAACUUCAAAAAUGUAUAAAAACUGAAACAAAUAGUCUUGGGUUGCCUCCCAAGUAGCGCCUUUCUUUAAUGUCUUUGGCUAGACAUUGAACACCACUCUUCAAUCUGGGUGUAACUCAAUUUUCCUGGAAAUCGGUGGCCCUCCCCCAGGAUCCAAAUAGCCUUUGAGUGCAGCCUUCUUUCUUAAUUUUCUACUCCUUUUCACCUCAUACAGUGCUUUCAUCCCCUUAUACUUGUUCUCAGUAAGUUUGAAUUUAUCCCUACAAGCAAACUCAGAAAAUUCUUGCACAGAGGGAUUAAUAGCAUGAAUAGCAAACACAGGGUGAGAGUUAACAGGAUGUUUCAUUGUAUCGAAAAUAUUAAAGUGGACUAGUUCUCCAUCAAAUUCCAUGGACAAUGUACCCUUAUUAACGUCAAUUUUUGUCUGUGCUGUGCUCAAAAAGGGUCUACCUAGUAGCAAAGGUGAGGGGUCAGGGGAAUGAUCAUCAUCCAUGUCAAGUACAUAAAAGUCAGCCGGGAAUAUCAAUUUAUUAACUUUAACCAGCACAUCCUCGACCAACCCAUCAGGGUAUGCAUUUGUUCGGUCAGCUAAUUGAAUUAUUAUCUCGGUUUCUUUUAAUGGACCGAGAUUCAGAGAAGCAUACAUAGAUUUUGGCAUUACGUUGAUCGAUGCUCCUAAAUCCAGCAAGGUAUUUCUAAUCAGAGUAUUACCUAUCUUGCAUGGGACAGUAAACCUACCUGGAUCCCCACACUUUGGUGGUAGCUUUCUUUGGAGAACUGCUGACACAUUCUCCCCAACAAUAACUCUUUCAUCUCCCCUCAGCCUCCUUCGAUUGACACAUAGGUCCCUCAGAAAUUUUGCAUACUUCGGCACUUGCUUGAUGGCGUCUAGUAGGGGGAUAUUGAUUUCUACCUUGCGAAACACCUCCAGGAUCUCUUUCUCCUUGUCCUGCUUCUUCGAUUUUUUCAACCUGCAAGGAAAUGGAGGGGGAUUAGUUUUAACUGUAAUUACUGGGUCUGGAAGUACCUUUAGAUCUGCACCAUUGCUGUCCUCCCUCUCAAGUUCAUUUUCGAUCUUUUCCUCAUCCUUAUCCUUAGGGAUCAUAGGUUCAGGCCCCUGAAUUUCCUUCACGCUCCUUAAAGUCAUUGCGCUUACGUUCUUCAGGUUCAGUUCAGGUUGGGAUGGCAAUCUUCCAUUUACUUGGGACUCCAAACGGUUGAUUGUUGUGGCCAUUUUACUUAUCUGACUCCUUAUAUCCUGCAUUUCGGAGUCCGUCCUUUGCUGAUUUUGCAUAAUGGUUGCCUCCGUCCUUUGCUGAUUUUACGCCAUGGUUGUCAUCAUUUGUUUCAUCAUCUCCUCCAAAGAUGGACCAGAGCUUGGGGGCGGAGGUGGUCGGGGUUGGUAUUGUUGCUGGUACCCUGGUGGCUUAUUUGGCACAAAGUUAGACUGCCUGUUCGGUGUAAAGUUGGGUUGCCUAUUCCCUCCAUAACUGAGGUUGGGAUGAUCUCUCCACCCGGGGUUGUAGGUGCUUGAGUAAGGGUCGUACUGCUUCCUUGGCGCGGGCGCGUGAUCAGCCAUGUUCACAUGUUCUGCAGUUUCUUCCUGAAUCAUUGGGCACAUAUCUGCAGAGUGACCUAUACCAGUGCAAAUCCCGCAUACCCUGGCUUGUGAUGCAUUUCUCACAGCCUGUUGCCUAACAAACGCGGUCAACUCAGUUAGCUGCUGCUGCAUGGAGGGUGUCUCUACCUCAUUCACCCUGCGUAUUGGAACAUCCUCUCUCGUACCGAAUUGUUGUGAAUUCUCUGCCAUCCCCUCUAUUAACUCCCGUGCUUCCUGAGGGGUUUUGUUCACCAGUGCCCCUCCACUUGCAGCAUCAAUUAUGCUCAUGUCUCUAAAAAGGAGCCCCUCAUAAAAAUACUAUAUGAGCAACUGCUCACUUAUUUGGUGUUGGGGGCACAUUCUGCACAACUUCUUGAACCGUUCCCAAUACUCAUAGAGUGACUCCCCUGGGUGCUGCUUGAUCCCGCAAAUUUCUUUCCUUAGACUCGCAGCCCUGGAUACAGGAAAAUAUUUAUCUAAAAAUUUUUUCUUUAAUUGGUCCCACGUGGUGAUGCUACCUGGUGACAGGUAGUACAGCCAAUCCUUCGCAGAAUCUUUCAAGGAGAAGGGAAAUGCCCUCAUUUUUAUCUGCUCUUCUGUAAUGUCCGGGGGCUUCAUACUGUUGCACACGACAUCAAACUCCUGCAGAUGCUUAUACGGCUCCUCACCUGGUAAACCAUGAAAAGAGGGUAAAAGAGAAAUCAGGCCAGAUUUUAACUCAAAUGAAGUGUUUUCACUCAAACUCGGGAAAGUAAUGCACAAAGGCUGCUGAUUUAAAUUAGGGGCAGCCAACUCCCUUAAUGCUUGUGCAUUAGCCAUGGGGAUUUCUUCUUGCUCCGAGUCACUCGAAGUGUUACCAAAUGAAUCUGUUGGUUCAACUCCUGACUCAGGUCUCUGAGAUGUAGCACUGGAGUGCUUCUCUCUGAGCUGUCUGGUUUCCUUUCUCGUUCUACGCGCGGUCUUCUCUACUUCAGAGUCAAAAAUCAAAUCACCUGUACGAGAAGACCGAGGCAUACACUAGAAAAAUACCAGAAAAUUAGAACAAAAAUGAAUUUAAAAAGAAACAAAUUAUAACGCCAGUCCCCGGCAACGGCGCCAAAAAUUGACAGGUGCCGAACCUGUGCAAUAAUAAUAAUAAAUAUAGAACCUAUCUACCACUAAAAGCAGUCAAUAAUUAAUCCUAAGUACUGGAGCAGGGACUCUAGGUGUGCAAUGGGUUACUUGAUUCACCCUGUUCCCGAAGAGUUUGCUUAACCCGAUAUACCAGAAUUAAUUAGUUGGCAGAAAUUACUGAAUAGUAGACAGUGGCAAGUAGGGUCGUCUCCUCAGGGACUGGAGAUAUCUGUCUCUUUUAAAAUCCAAUUGAUUAGGGGGGAUUUCACCGGAAUGAAACUAAAAACAAUUAAACAAUUUUGACUAAAAUGAAUAAAUAACUAGCACAAGUAUAGCAGGAAUUUAAUCAGGAAUAAAUAAAUUCUAGUCAAGGAUACAACUACUCAGGCGCAGUUCAAUCAUCCGAUCAUUGAUGCAAGAGAUGUUCACUUAAUGUAUUAAUAGGCUAGUUAUAGUCUGACGACCAAUUUUUCCUUAAAUUAUUGAUAACCAAGGUACGACCGUUGAUUACCCCUAAUCAGCAAAUACUCCUAGGUACGACCAUAGGAAGUAAUUUUCCAAUUGCAUUAAUAACUAGAAAAACCUAGCCCUAAUCAAUAACACGCUACGAGGGUUAUUUAAAUUAGAUCGCAUGUUCCCCUAAUGUGUAAACACACCAGUUGCCACUAAUAUUAAUCAAUCAAACAAUUACGGAUUUAAUUGACUAAAUUAGCACGAGAUUAAUAAAUCACAUUGAACAUCGGGCCCUUGACAUCCAAUUAAUAAAAUAAUCCCAUGAAAAUUCAAGCACACAACGUGCAAAUAUUAAUAAAUAAAGGAACACGUGAAAACUAAUUAGAUCUCACAGAUUUUCGGGACUGCGCCGUCGAGUUGACCCUUGACUAGAUGGAAGGCUUAGCCACGCCGCAUAAUUAAAUCACCACACGAAUUAAUAAAUUGCAAAGGCAUUGCGUUUUCUAUUAGGAAGUAAGGAAUAAAAGGUGUUUUUCCCGUUGGGGAAUAUUGUCGAACACCUGGCGUGUGUCAGAGGCCAGUCAGGAGAAGAAAAGAAAAACUAAAGACUAGGCUAAAAACUAAACUAAAAGAUAAACUAAAACUAGAGAUGUCUUCCUUCCUACGUUAUCCCUAUUUAAGAGACAAAAGAAAGAUAGACUAAAGCUAUCUAGGUGGUCCCCACACAUGUGGACAAAGCCUCCAAAGUACUUCUUCUCCCAAGUCUCUUUUCCAUAGCUUUCUUUGAAAAGCCCAAAUGACUUAUAGCUUUGUGGUCCCCACCAAUCCAAGGGCCCAAGGAUUGAAGCCCUUAGAAGUCUCCAUAUUCUCCAUAAAGUCCCUCCUUUUUGGUAGUUUUCUGCUUCAUUCCUGAAAUUAAGUCCAGAUACCAAAUAUGAGUAAAUAUCAGCAAUUAACACAAUAUUUAUCAGGGAUAAAAGGGGAAAUAAAUAAUAAAAUUACUAACAAAUUAUACCCUAUCAGAACUCAAAGAUACUUAGUUUAUAUAUAUAUAAUUUGAGUAAAUUUUAUAUACACUGAUAAUAUAUACACUAUCAUCGUUGGAUUCAUGACAUGUGUGCAAAAGUUGAAUUUCAAAUUCAAAUUUUGCACAAUUGUCAUUCAUUCAAUGCUAUAGUAUAUACAUUGUUAGUAUAGAAAAGAUUAAUCCAUAUAAUUUUUAUUUAAUAGUGAAAUUAUAUAUAUAACCUAAAUUUUAUUAUUUGUUAAGAAAAAUUACUAUUUUAUUCUUUUUUAAAAAUAAAAUAAUUAUUUUUUAUUUUUUAAACUCGAGUUCGAACUCAAAUUUUACAUUGAAAGCUCAUCGAACUCAAACGAGAGCUCAAGUUUUAAAUUUGGUAAAAUUGAAUUGAAACUCGACUCAAUUAAGUCAAAAUUUGAUUUGACUCAACUUGGUUGCAUUCUUAUUUGAAAGGUGCACGAGUUUUUAGGAGGUAUCAUUUUGGUAUUAGAAUUUCCUGAAAAUGCAAUCUUUAAAUUUACUUCAAAUACUUUCCACUUUAACCCUUUUUUUUUUUUUACUAUUAUAAGUGUAAAUGAGUCUAAUCAAAUCGAACAUCCUAAUAUUCAAGUUUAAUUAUUUUAAUGAGUUUGAAAUUUUCAAAUUUAAUUUAUUUAUUUGUUGAAUCAAACUUAAACGAAUCUUUUAUUGAAUUUGAAAUUUAUCGAGCUCUUCAAUGACUUGUUGGCGAACCAAAUUAGAAUGAACUCUCGUCAAAUCAAAUUGAGUAUGAUUCUUGUAUUGAGUUUUUGAUUAUUUUUCAACCCUAUUUACUAUCCUUUGUCAUCUUGGGGAGCAAAAAAACUAUAAAUUUAUUCCUUUCUUGGUGAUCCAAUAACCCGUUUUAUCCUCCUCUGGCUUUUCUUUUCCUUUCUUUUCUGACUCCAAUCCAAGGGCCCAAAUUCACUCGCAUCCGAUCAACGGUCAAAUUUCAUCCUCCACCUUUCCCAGAAGUGGUAUCAUCUCCCAAAGCAUCUUCUCAGUCGAUAUUCCUCUCAGAUUCCCCCCAGUCCCGGGUGCCCGUGUUUCGCUUUUCCCAACAAUCCAUCCCGGCCCCCUCUUUCCCUCUCCUUCUUUCGCUUUCUCGCACCUUGAUCGGAGACGGAAACUAUGGAGAGUAAACCCCAGAAGCCAAUUCCCAUGAAUGACCCCCCGACGGACCGCCCUGUUCGUGUUUACGCAGAUGGAAUUUAUGAUCUCUUCCACUUCGGCCACGCUCGCUCCCUUGAACAAGCUAAAAAAUCGUAAUGAUUUCUUAUUUUUCUAAUCUAUUUGCUUUUAAAUUUGAGAAUUUUUUUUUGGAGCGGGUGACUUAGUUCUUCUUUAUUUUUUAAUUUUUUUGGGUGAUCUUUGGGCAGUAUGGGAUGUGGUUUGGGUUAUUUUGGUAGCUUGUCAUCUCAAGCGUUUUGAUAAAAUGUGUCUAUGAGAUUUGGUUGAUUUAAAGUUAGAAUUGAUAGUGCAAUGUUGGCCUGCUUUCUUAUGUAGGGGAAUAUUGGUAGUGGGGAUUGUAUUUUCUUCCUAUGAGGUUGAUCCGUGUAAUACGAUGCCCAUAUGAUUCUAGAAUUGUGGAAAAGGAUGAUAAAGAAACCAUCUUGAAGGAGGCAGCGUUGGAGCUGAUUUCAUACCAUGUACAUGUGCCGUUGUUUGCCUUGAAAAAGCGUGGAUUAGUAAGAUAUUGACCACAAUUAGAGCGUUAAGGAACUUAAAAUUAGAGUUGUUAGGAUCAGCCGUGGUAUUGGGACAGACUGCUUUUUGUUCAUGUAAAGCUUAUGAAAACCAGGGUAGCAUUCUAGUUAUUCUAUCUAUCAUUUUCUUCCUGAAUGUUGUAUAUAUUCUCGAAUAUUUGACUGCAAUAUUUCCUUGGCAGUGUUAUAAUUAUGUUGAAUUGUGGAUAUCAUGAUUAAUUGCCUUUUUUGUCACUCCUUUUGGUAAUUGUGAUUAUGAUUGAUUAUUUUCUAUCCAGGUUUCCCAACACCUAUCUACUUGUAGGAUGUUGCAAUGAUGAAGUCACCCACAAAUAUAAGGGUAAAACAGUUAUGACUGAUGCGGAGCGAUAUGAAUCUCUCCGGCAUUGCAGGUUGAUGUGAAGUAAUUUCUGUUAUUUAAGCUCUCUAUAUGAAUGGUGGUUUGAUUCAUUAUGUAAAUCCUAAUAGACGAGGAAGUGGUUUGAUUCAUUAAUUAAAUACUAAUAGAUGAGCAAAGGGGAUGUUGAACGAGGAGCCAGUGCAUUUUCUUUUGAGGCUAGUUUUACAUCUCCUUUUAUCUAGGCAUUUAUUUAUGCAUUAGGUACUUUUCUCUUGUGUAGCUAUUUUCUUCAGAUGACUUAUGGACUUUUGAAGCAGUGAAUAUUACCACCUCAAGGAUAAAUACUUCAAUUAAACUUUAGUAUAGUCUUCCUUCCUUCCUUUUAUUUUUUAAACAUUUUUUAAUUCUUUUACUUUUUAUACAUUGGAAGGUAAAGGGUAUGCAAAAAGACAAGAACUUGAGUGCUGUUAUUUGUUUCUUUCAUUAGAACUUCAUUUGCAAUUGCCUCUUGCUUGUUUUGUUUGCUGCAUCCUCUUUAUGCUCGAGGAUACGGUUGCAACUAUGAAAAAUUUUGUUCUGCUUUGUUGUCCAGACAAACUUCUAGGUCUUUCGACUUCCUCAGAACAGACAGCCAAAGAAGUCAAAUGAGUGAGAAAGAGAUAGAGUACCUUGAUAUGCACCAGUUCUUAUAGGAGAGAGUAGACCUCUGAUUAAGUUCAAGCAGUCAUUUUUUAUUUAUGAUGGGGUAGCAGAACGAUAUUCUUUCCUUUGACCAUCCAGCAUUGUUGGGAUAACACUUUUAUUCUGCAUUGUGAACAGAAGCUUCCCUUACUAAGAAAGAAGGAAGCAUCUGUUCCCACGUUAGUUUCACCAUUGUCCCCUUCAAAUUCUAUUUUUGAAGUAUCAGAUUUAUUUGCUGGAAGUCACAGCUUCAAAGGGGUUGACCACUGAGAUUUUUUCAAAUAGGGCUUUAGUUGGGAACCUUAUCAAAUGUGUGUCUUGGAGCUUUUGCCUUGUAGCUAAAGUUAUAGAGAUAGAGAAUUCUUGGUGCUUUAGUAAGCUAGAUUGAUAGUUAAAAUCAAAAUUUCUGUUAUAUCCUGUUGUCCUGUACUGUUGCAUUUUCAGUGCAAGCUUGUGUUUAUUUGUCUAUUCUUUCUAACUUCUUGUUCCUUAUAGGUGGGUUGAUGAAGUUAUUCCAGAUGCCCCUUGGGUGACUACACAGGAAUUCCUUGAUAAACAUCAGAUCGACUUUGUGGCACAUGACUCUCUUCCGUAAGGUUUACAAACCCAAGAACUGUUUAUUAUGCUUGCCUCUAUUGGCCUUUUGGCGUAGAUGAAGUCUUCUUCAAACCUUCAAAGUGUAGGUUGUAUAAAAUCUGUUAAACAUGGUUACAGGAUAACCAUGAUAUAUAAAGACCCAGCAUGGUUUCUGUGAAACUAAAAAGGAUGUACAUUUGUGAAAUAAUGUGGCUAGACUAUAAGGCACAUAGUUCAUGUCCUCUGCUGCUACCUCUUGAACCAAGUAUGAAAAAAAAAAAGAAAGGAAAAAGAUAAGAACUUAGAAAAUCUCUGCAGUACCAUACUUUUUUGCUUGGUUUCUUUUUCUUGUAUACUUGUAUGUUGAUAUUCUCUCUUAAUGUCAGUUAUGCUGAUGCAAGUGGGGCUGCCAAUGAUGUCUAUGAAUUUGUAAGUGCAAAUUGUCAUUACCAUGCAGGCUAGUGCUUUUAAUUAUUGUGGCUGCUAUUAUUGCUUCUAUCUUUAUUACUUUGUUCUCUUGUUUGAUUAAUACCUAUUUGGCUGCUAUAUGUUUGGUUUCUGUUACUUUUCUAGACAAUUUGUUUGCCUGCUCGUUGUUUCUCUUCUAACUUAUCCUCUAAUUGGCUUUUUCCUUUCAAGCUGCUUAACUGCUAUGUCAGUCUUAAAUCCUCUCGUGCUGCCUAGAUGACUGUUUUGAUAUGAAAAUCAUAUGUCAAAAUCUUAUUUUAGGUUAAGGCUGCUGGAAAGUUUAAAGAGACAAAGCGAACAGAAGGAAUCUCAACAUCAGAUCUUAUAAUGAGGAUAGUGAAAGAUUAUAACGAAUAUGUGAUGCGGAACUUGGACCGGGGUUACUCAAGAAAGGAACUGGGUGUGAGCUAUGUCAAGGUAGAGUUACACGUCUUGGCUGAUUAGUUGAACGUCUACAAUGUCCAUUACCAUCUCUCUCGUUGGGAUGCGUAUUGAGUGCUUUCUCAUUUUAAUUGAAGGAAAAAAGAUUGAGGGUGAAUAGGGGGUUAAGAAAGUUGCAGGAGAAAGUGAAGAAGCAACAAGAGAAAGUGGAAGAGAAGGUAUGCAAGUCUUGUUGCCAUAUUGAUGUUAUCUUUAACAUAUAGUGUAAUGUAGUGAAGAUGAAUCAUGAUAUGUUGUAUCUGGCCAUAAUAACCAUUCUAUUUCAUCAGAAUAAGAAAAUAGUAGCCUAACAUAUUCAUUGGUUGCAAAUUUGCAAUUUUAUGUUUUAAUGAUCUAUAUGAAUUUGGAAGUGCAAUUUCAGUCGGUUAUAUUUUUGUUCACUUUGGAGCUCAAAUAAAUUAGGCGCUGCAAAUUUGGACUUGUGACAUUUAACUUCUACAGUGUGGAACCAUGAGAAGGGAGAUUGGAAUUUUGCUAUGUGAUAGUGGCCCUCCGAAUUAUGAACUAAUGUUCUAGAAUUUGUUUAAAAAAACUUUCUACACUAGUGAAUCAUCAGAAGAGGGAAAAGAAGAUGACGAAAAUGAAUUUGUGCCAGGCCAUUGACUUUCAAAGAAAGUAUGAAGAUGUCUGCAUAACAGAAAAGUACUGUUGUGGAUUUUGCUGAUAAAAAUUAAGCUGGCAUAUGAUAGUUUUAAUGGAACAGCAGAUCAUAUAAUGGUAGAACUGCCUCUAAUGUCUUUGGAGUGUUAACAGGAACCUUUUGGUGAGCUCUAGGCAAAGAGAGCAAGCCCUCUGGUAAUAUUGACAGUUUGGCAGCAUUAUAAUGCCAAGAAAAUACACUGUAAUUGGUGAAUCUAAGUCUACAUCAGUAAGAUCUUCAUUGAGGAGUUAUAUGCUUGGAUUUCUCACAUGGCGUGUGAUUCCCUUGCAUAAUUUUUUUCCUCUCAAUAAAUUAAGUAAUAUUGAACAUUGCCCAUGCUUGAUACAAUUGACAAGCUUGAGUUAUAUCACGGACUUAAAUUUAUUGGUAGUCAAUAUCUGUUUUGAAACACUACAGUUUUUCAAAUUAAUCUGUCAUUUUUUAGUUCAAACCAUGAUUACUAGGAAUUUUUGUGAUCAACUGUCAAUUCUUUGUUGUGUUGCGCAGCAUUACUGAGCUUUGUAAGUUUUGUGUUUCUGAGGAGGCUCCAUCUCCAUGUGGAAUGCUUUCAGCUUUUUCCUGUACAACGAGUGUUCCCCCCCCCCCCCCCCAAAACACCAAACUCUUUUUCCAGCUAUAUUUGAAUUACUGUAAUUCUUUUCUCUGUGAAUCUUCAGAUGCAAACAGUGGCAAAACAUCGUAACAUAUGGGUGGACAAUGCUGAUCGAUUGGUUGCUGGGUUUCUUGAGAUGUUUGAAGAAGGUUGCCAUAGAAUGGUAAUUAUGUCAUUGUCAUUUUUUGUAUCAUGAAGAUCUAAGAAAAAAUUUGUUGAUAGAGUACAAUUUUUAAGCUUGUGCCCUCUGUAUAGGAAGUGUGUGGUAGGAAAGGGUAGACAGGACUUAAUAACAUGCUACACUUUUGAUUACUGAAAUAAGUGUCAGAUUUGCUUCUGGGAUUAGACUUUAUUUGGACAUUUCUCCAGGGAACUGCCAUCAGAGACCGGAUUCAAGAACAAAUAAGGACAAAGAAUAUACGGGGACUGAUAUACGAUAAAGAAGAUGAAGAUGACUACGAGGAGGAUGAUGGGUAUUAUUACGAUGGCAGUACGGAUGAUGAAUACUAUGAUGAUGAGGGUGAGGAAUGACCUCCUCAUCAUCCGAUGUUUAGUUCGAAAAGGUGGCUGUCAUAUUCAGCUGCAACACAUGGAGUGUGGUCUGGAUCAAGACUUAUAAGUGUUUUUCUGCUUGCCUGUUUCAAAAAAUGUCUACCCCACAUGCAUCAGUUUUGAUGUGUCCUUGUGCAUCAGAAAGUGCUGUUUGUAUUUUUUGGGCUUCAUUUAGGUAUGUUUUGGAAAGUGUUCUUUGUAAUUUGUAGAAAAUAGCGCUGAUUAUUAUUCUUAACAGAACUCUUAGAAACUUAAAAAGUGUAAAACAGUUUUGGAAAUUAUAGAUAUUUAACGUGGAUGUUUGCUUGUUUCUACAAAUGCUUUAUUUAGUUGCCAGCCCCCCGUCCUCCCCCGGUUUUUGUACUUCUUGGUAUGCAUGGAUUGGAAUUUUUAUUGCGACAGAGUAACCGAAGGAUUGAACUAUUGCAUGUUCUUCAUAUUAACCUAUUGGAGAUUGAUUGGUAUGUCCAAUUCGAUGAAUUCUAUCAGCUGCAAAUAAUUUUCUCCUGUUGCUCUUUUGCUUCGGAUUUAGCUAGGAUUGGUUGAUGGUUAAUUUUUGGGGUAAAAAAAAAACAUGACAUGAUCCUUAAUAGGAAGUUGUAAGGCUAUAAAAAUUGUAAACUACCCGUUUAAACUAUUACCUCAGUUAAAAGGUGGCUGUAUUCUUGGUUAAUUGAUGUAUUACUAAAACCGUUUAUAGGCUGAGCACUCAAUAGAUGGAAAUGGUAUUUCAUCUAAACAUGAAACUUUUAGUUGCACAAUCUGGCCGCCAACAUUUCACGAUAGAGAAUUAAUCUGCAGUUCUGCAAGAAACACUGAAAUUAAUAUCUGAAACCAGAAUUUCAAUUUGCUAAAUGCGGUUAAGAGUUUCGCUACAUAUAUUCUCGAGCAUGAAAACCAGCUUAAAGCAAAAUGAAAUCAAUUUUUCUAAAGAUCUCAAACAAAAAUCUAGCAGAUUACUUUAAAGCCAACCAAAAUCUGCAUGAUCAGAAUUUCGGUUUUCUUUAAGAGGUAAGAAUUACAGUAGAUAUAAUCUAGAGGACCAACAAAACCAACUUAAGCAAAUUGAAUUCACGUUUCCAAAGAUAUCAAGCACUAAUUGAUAGUUGAGUAUCCAGAUUGAGCAAAACAUUCCAUUGCAUGGAGGUUGAAUUAAGAAACACAUCAUCUCACAAAUGAAUCGAGAGAAGAAUAAGUUACUGAAAUUUGUUUAUCUUACAAGUUCGGGGAGUAAUACAACAGAAUCCACAAUCAUACUCUUAUCAUCUCAAAUAUGAACUACUAAUAAGCACUUUGAUGUCCCCAGUUGCUUCCCUGAUUCUUUUUGCAGACUCUUCCGCAGAUUGUCUGCACCAGUGCACUUCAAUCAAUUCCAGUGUGCCUAUGUCUGCAAAAUCAUACGGGAUUUCCUUGAGGUCUUUGCAAUUUUGCAAGACAAGCCGUUCAAGUUUGGGAAGGUGAUCACAAGUAGCAUUCCAUUGAGAAACGUUCAGAUUGUCUAACUUCAAGAAUUUGAGUUCCUUGAACUGAUCUUCCUCCAUGUCCCAUGUCAGCCCCUCAAAGGCAUCAAGAAGUAAUUUGAGAACUUCCAGGUUGGGUAGUCUCCCAAUUGUUGAGAUAUGACUCCAUGGUAGACGAAACUUUGAAAGAGUCAAUUUCCUCAGAUUGGAAGGGAGAAUGAAUUCCCUGGUAAUAGCGCUUCCAUAGUAAGAUACAUUGAGUGACACCAAAUGAGUUAGAAAAUCUAAUCCUGGAAACUGAUAGGAAUUCUUCGAAGAACCCUGUGGAUGAAAGAAUAUGCAUCUCAGUUUCUGGAGAUUUGGCAACCUCUUUAUUAUUGAUUCUGUAUCUUCACCACAAGAGAGAGAGAGACAGGAAAGGCUGACCAAAUCACCCAACUUACAGCAGACUUCAAGCCCUUCAUCAUCCAAUGUGAAAGCAACAUGCAUAUUCACAUGAAGAUGCCUCAACCUUGUCAUGUGCCAAAUAGUAUCUGGUAAGACAACCUGACCACGUAAUCCCUUCAAAACAAAAGUUUCUAGUUUUCGGAGAUUGCCUAUGGAUUGUGGAAUAGUUUGCAUAUAACCAGUGAUUGCCAAAUACCUCAAAUGAACCAGGCAUGUAAUGUCAGCAGGGAAGGUGACACCCAGGUUGAUGCAUUCAAAAUCUAACACCCGCAGAAGUUUGAAGUUGUGCCAAAUGAAUGAGAUGUCAUAAGGACAUCUGGGCUCUGAAUCAGCUGAAGGAAAGAAUAUCAAAGAACGAGUACCCAGGCCAAAAGGUCUUGAUUUAAAAAAAUGGAGUCGCUUCAAAAAAAAGCACAAUCGGUAGGCUUCAUAUGUGACAGGAUCAGAAUGAUGGCCAAUUUCAAAACCAAAAUCUGAACUAGGAAAAGAUACAUAUGGCUCAUCAAACCUGGUUACUAGCCGGAAGAAGUUCUCUGCUCUGGCUUUUAACUGACAAAAAUCACGCAACAGAUCAUGCAAGCGACAUGAUUUGACCAUUCCGUUGGAUCUUCUUUUGGAGACUUCCACCAGGCUUCUGCUAAUCAACUCCAUCAAGUAACCCUCGGCAAUACCUUCUAAGCUCUUCAACUCAGAGUCAUGAAUGAAACCUUCAGCAAGCCAAAACCGUAUCAACUUGCUAACAGGAAUAUCCUUGUCUUCAAGGAAAACUCCCAAAUAAAGAAAGCACGGUUUUAGAUAUCCCGGCAAGUGUUUGUAACUCAAUUCAAAGAUUUCCAUGCACCGAGCUUUUGGAUCUUCUAUAACUUCAGCAAUCAAGCCUUUUGCAAUUUUCCCCCAUGAUGCUCUGCUCUUUUCUAUCUUUUGGAGGAGACCAGAUAUUGCAACAACAGCAAGAGGCAAUCCUUUACACUUUUUGGCAAUUUCCUUUCCAACAAGCAACAAUUCUUCGGGACAACCUUCACCAUGGAAUACUUUCUCUACUAAUAAGUUCCAGCUUUCAUCAUCAGAAAAUAAGCGUAGAGAAUGAGGAUCACUAUCUGGUUCAAUUUGCAAGGCCACAUCACGAAGGCGGCUGGUAAUCAAAAUUCUGCUUCCAUUGGCAUCAUCUGGGAAUGCAUUUCUUAACUCAUUCCAAACUCCAGCAUCCCACACGUCAUCCAUAACAAUGAGAAACCUGUUUCUCAGUAAGCACUGACGCAAUUUUAAUUGGAGAUCUUCGUUAGUCAUUUGACGAAUUUCAUCCGUAAGCCCGAGAAUGCCACGUAAAAUCUCCAGCAGCAGGUCUCUUUUGUCAUAUCCUUGUGAAACAGUACACCAUGCACGACAAUGAAAGUGAGACAAAACCUUUUGGCAGUUAAACAGUUUCCAAGCCAUUGUUGUCUUGCCAAUACCGGGCAUUCCCACAAGAGAAACAAUACCAAACUUUGAGGAUCCCUUGACAAGUUGAUCAGUUAUAGAUUGUUCUUCAUCUCUGGGAUCCACCACCAUUCCAUUGAUUGCUGGUGUAGCAUCCCGUGAUAUCACGUUGGGUGGAACCUGGAUGACGUGUUUGUUAUCUAGGACUUUGGCUUGAGGGGUCGUCAACUGAAUUCUAGAGGCUCGCUUAUUAACAAUUCUUAACUCCUCUAGUAGAUCAUAAACCAAAAAGAAACCUUGCCAUUGAGGAUCGACCUCAAUUGAGUCAAUGACAAACUCAAUUUUGUAAGCAAUAUUGGCAACAUGACCACCAAGAACUUUCACUUCUGGAUUGUUAUCAAUAUCCGACUCUGAGACUUUCAUGAGAAAAGAACCCAAAGACUUGAAAUGUAGAUGAAUUUCUUUUAUGUAAUUCCUGACUGGUUCAAUUGACGCAGGAUCAUAGUUCAGCAGUUCCUCCAGGCUUCCGAUGAGAAAUUCAACGAACCCUGGCUUGUCAGUCUUUGGAAAAUCAGACAAUGGAAAUGGGGGACUAACCACUCUGAGCGUAGACUUGAUAGGAUUCAGCUUAUCUUGCAGUCUAGAAGAUGAGAUGAUCAUAUUGUGGAUGGGUCCUGCCAUCCCUGCAUCAGAAGUUUCAGUUUGUGGGAAGAUCGUGUCCAUGUCCUUUGUCUCCUCCUUUAGCUGGUUGCAGAGAAGUGUGAAAAGAUUAAGGAGCACAAGAAGUGCAAUUUGAUCUUUUCGAUAAGCCUCGGAAUUUGCAGCACUACUCCUCUCCAGUUGUAACUUCUCAAAUAAUGCUUCUGCUUUGAAAACAACAAUGUUAAGAAGCAAUAGGAGAAUUGAGUUUCUCACCGUGGAUUCUGUGAUCUUCUUGGCCUCAAACAACUGAUGGAGAGAUGCUACCUUGUAGUCCACUUGUUUAAUGAGAGCCAAUGCCUUAUUCCCAUAUUCUGCCUCCCAAUGCGUAAGAUUUUCCAGAAAACGUAUCAAUUUUUUAGGCAUCCAUUGGACAUCACCUUUAACAUGAUUGAGCAGAUCUUUAGUUCGGAAAGUGCUCCCUUGAUUGUUACAGAAAAGCAUUCCCUUGAGGAAAAGCUCCGUCUGAAGAAGAAAAACAUUUAUACGUAGCUCAGAAUGGCCAUGGAUAUGUUGCUCGCCCUUUCGUUCCGUCUGUAAGAGGAAUUCCAGCUCUAUGAGCACCGUAUGAAUUUCUGCAAGGAAAAUUUGUAUAGUCUGAUCCUCUUCCUCCCCCUCCUCCUGUUGCUUCAGUUUGGUGAAGGCUAAAAGCUUUAACAGCCCAUAGAUCUCUCGAGAACAGAUCUCUCGAGUAUCUCUGAUCCUCACUUCAGUGGCAACAUAAUUGCUAUAAUGAGAGGAAAAAUCGGGCUUAACUCCUCCAAUUUUAUGGAGAGCCACAAGGAAAUGAAAAUGGAACUCCAUGAAUUUGGGAUUAGUAGGAUGAAUCUCAUGUUGCAAAUCCACUACAGAUUUAGUUAGCUUAAUCAUUUCUACCGUUUUGGUUUUGCCUUCGGUUUUCCCGCAGUGAAUCCGGUACUUAAGACUGUGGAUUGCAAUGCGCACCAUCACAGAUGCAACACGAGUCACGAAAUCAUUGAUAGCAUUUACAUCAUCACCACCUGCAGCAGCUGCUGCUGGGAAGUCGAGAUUCCUGGAUACACCUUCCAUGUAUUCCCCGAACAAUCUUAGCUCUUUGCGCCAGGCACCGAUUGGCUCGCUCCAUUUUGUAUCGUCCACAAUAUCGGCCAGAGUGGUUACAAAUUGUAGCCAAAAAGAAACAUCAGAUGGUGAUUGCAGUCGACACGACGACCACCCGGAUAAAUCCAAAAGGUGUUCAACAUCUUCUCCAAUCUCUUCCAUCCAUUUGAUGGAUUUACUGUAAUAAUCAUAGAGAGUUUUGCCAUUUACCGGGGAAAGCUUCAUCUGGGCGUUGUUCUUGUUUAUAAUUACAACAUGCCAACCAAUCUCCUCGGCUGCAGCUUCAAUCUUGACUCCCAUAUUAAGCAGCACGCGCUCUGCAUCUUCGUCUCUCAUCAGCUUGUGAAUUGCUUCCGAAAUUAACCUCAAAAGCUUCCAAUCUCCCAAGAUGCGAUCGCGUUGACGCCAGCGUACGCGGUGACUUUUGUUUCCACGCGCAACUGCAUCGAUAAAUUUGCUACUUCCCCGUACAGCAUCCAAGAAAAAAACUAUGAUAUCAAAGCUGGAAAUAGCCAUCUCCAGGUCCAGAAUUUUGAUCUCUUACUCAAGCAUACCAGUUCUGUCUGUCAGACUGAUCUGCAUAAACACAAAUGCUUUUGAUGUAUGUAUUAGGUGAAUAGGUGAUAUCGAGUGGAGGUGAUAUCGAGUGGAGUCGAGUGGAGUGCUCAAUUAUUGAAACAAAUAAACCUAAAAUAGUAAUUAAUUAUUGUAACAAAUAAACUUGAAAUUAUAAUUUGGAUAAUAUUAUUAUAAUAAAUUAAUAUUUAAUAUAAAACUUGAGUGGAGUGCUUGAUUGAUAAAGUUCGAACUCGAGUUGUUAGAGUUCAAAAAUUUUUGGAAAUAAUAGUAUAAUAAUUAAAUAUUUAAUUAUUAUAACAAAUAAAUUUAAAAUUAUAAAUUGAAUAAUAAUAAUAAUAUUUAAUUGAAUACUCGACAGAACUCGUCGAGCUCUUAAGUUUUUUUAAUAGCACCCGAACUUGACUCGAAAAUUCAAUUAAGUAACUUGAACUCGAUCAAUAUCGAGUUCAAUAAAGUAAUUAAACUGAACUGCUAGCGAAUUCGAGUCAAGCUGCUCAAUUAAAUCUCACCCUUAUCCCCAAUGGACCAGGGCCUCACAAUUUGAGGCAAUAUCCACUUCGGACACAUCCGGUCAAGAUCAAAUUGUGAUAAUGAGACAGCCACGAUUUAGUGGGUCGACAGCGCAGUAUCAAUUCGCAUGGGGAAAGAAAAAUCAAAAUUGAGGACUAAUGAAAAGACUAGAACUCAUUGUCCUCUCAUCAGAGAUAGAGGAGAAGAAUCAACGAUGAAGACUACUCAUUUCUGAGAAAUUUCUAACGAAAUCCAACAUAGGGAGAUAAAGUCUCAGACUCUUCAACUUUUUGGGAAGUGAAAUUUUGCAGCCCUACAAGUUCGAGAUUUAUUGAGGCUUUGCUUGUUGGUUCAUAAUUUAACAAAAAAAAAAACAAAAAGUUCUCAUAUCAUCAAAGUAUCAAGUAUGUUCUUGGGUUUUCAGAAUAUUCAUGGAUAUUGGAAAUUUUUUUCUUCGUUUAUUGUAAUUACAAGGGGACACAAAAGGCAUUUGGUUUUUUCCAUUCUUGUGAAGAAAUUCUCGAUAUUUAAUGACUGCUAUAAGAAGAAAAUUAGCAAAAAUGCUAACUCUCUAAUUAUCCAAAUCGAAUGGUAGAUUAGGGCUAUUAUAAUUUCUUGAUUGGCAUUGUUUGAGUUGGUCUUGUUAAAGAAGAAUUUAGAAAUCGUCAUGCCAGUGGUAUGUAUAAGAGUACGUAAAAACACCCUAAAGAAACUUGCCCCUUUUGAUUAUUUACACCAGUAGUCACAACUUUAAGUGCUGGCCAAUCUUGUUACUCUACAACCAUUUGUUGGACAAUGGACAUUGGUUAAUAAAUGGGCCUAAUGCAUAUGCAAACAAACUUAUUAAAGAAGACACACUUGCAAGCUAGAGUUGGCUUGAUAUUAUGCAGGCAUGAUCAAGGAUUCUUAAUUAGGUUCGACAAUUUUGCAAUAAAUUGGGUAAAAUAUCAAAAAACCUCUUGUGAUUUGCCGAGUGUUUAACUUAACUCCUUAUCGUUCGGAAACUUACAUUCUAAGCUCUCAUGGUUUUAACUAAAUUGGAAGGUGGAUAGAAACUGACUAAACUAAUGGUUGCAUCUAAAAUGUCAAAAUUGUCCUUUAUAAAUAAUAAGAUUUAAUGCAAAAAACUAUUUAUGAUCUGUCGAAUGUUCAACAUAACUUUUUAUGAUUUGGAAAUCUAUAUUCUAGCCUCUCGUGGGUUUAACUAAAUUGAAUUCAUUAUAUUAGCCUUCUUCUACUUCAUUCAAACAUUCUUGCUACAGCCAUUUCCCUUACUGGAAGAAUGUAGUUACUAAAGGAAUCAUUAAAAUUGUUUAUCGCGAGAAGCAAGGCUGUAGUUUCCGAAGCACAGAGAGUUAAGAAUACAUAUUAAAGAACUUAUUGAAAUUGUUUAUUACAGGGAGUUAGAAUGUAAGUUCUGAAGUUGUUAAAGCACUCAUUGAGAUUGAUUACUACGAAAGGCUAGAAUAUAGGUUUAUGAAGCAUAGAGAGCUAAGAAUAUAGAUACCAUGUUCAUCAACUAAGGCAUUGCCAAAAAAAAAAAAAAAUCAUGCAAGGUGCCCUUCCAUUGAUAUGCAGGUAUGACAAGUAAUUUUAGGUUAAGAAUUUUGUUUGUUUAGCUGUCUAUGUUUCAAUUGUAUUGUUGAGUACUUCUCUCACAUUCGUAAUUUGAGCAUUUGCACUCCUUUUAGGUGUGUAAAUAUCAUUUUUUAGUUGGCUUGAAAAGGUCUGAAUGUUUGUCACUCUCUGUUGUUCAUUAAUAUACAUUGAUAGUUCGUUGAACUCAAACUCAAGUUUAAAUUUGAUAAAAUUAGAUCGAAUCUCAGCUCGAUUCGAUUAAAAUUCAACUCGACUCGGUUGUAACUCUACCUAGGAGAGUUGUCCUUUAGAUUUAGUGACACUUUGUGUUUCUUGCUUUUAGGAAUGGCUAGGACAGCUUUUGGUAUUUCUCCAUGAUGCCCAAUUGGUAGAUUGCUUGUCAUACAUGAGGAAUCCAAUCUGCUGCCAGCAAUGCUCUCCAGAUAGCUCAAUUCAGCAGAACCCAUCUAGGAUUCGUUGUGGUUAAUUUUAGAUUGCACAAAUUUUGUUACCUCUAACAAUACAAGCCGAUAUGCUUCAAAAAAAAGUCUGAUAAGAAGACCUUUUUUUGGUGUAGUGAAACACUAUUUGCCAUGAUCCUCGUACAUGUAAGCUAGCCGCUCAAAUAUGAAUAUUAUGCUGAGUACUUCAAAAUUGGAACACUUGCUUCAGCGAAUUAGGUGCUAACUUUUGAGUCAAUGGCUGUCAACAUUUGAAGAUAGAGGGAUUGAAUGCAGUACUUCAAGAAACAAAGAAAUGAAUCUGCAUGAUUAGAAUUUCUGUUUGCUUUAAGAGGUAAGAAUUACAGUAGGUAUAAUCUAGAGGACCAACAAAACCAACUUAAACAAACUGAAUUCACCUUUCCAAAGAUCUCAAGCAAUAAUUGAUUGUUGAGUAUCCAGAUUGAGCAAAACAUUCCAUUGCAUGGAAGUUGAAUUAAGAAACACAUCAUCUUACAAAUGAAUCGAGAGAAGAAUAAGUUACUGAAAUUUGAUUAUCUUACAAGUUCGGGGAGUAAUACAACAGAAUCCACAAUCAUACUCUUAUCAUCUCAAAUAUGAACUACUAAUAAGCACUUUGAUGUCCCCAGUUGCUUCCCUGAUUCUUUUUGCAGACUCUUCCGCAGAUUGUCUGCACCAGUGCACUUCAAUCAAUUCCAGUGUGCCUAUGUCUGCAAAAUCAUACGGGAUUUCCUUGAGGUCUUUGCAAUUUUGCAAGACAAGCCGUUCAAGUUUGGGAAGGUGAUCACAAGUAGCAUUCCAUUGAGAAACGUUCAGAUUGUCUAACUUCAAGAAUUUGAGUUCCUUGAACUGAUCUUCCUCCAUGUCCCAUGUCAGCCCCUCAAAGGCAUCAAGAAGUAAUUUGAGAACUUCCAGGUUGGGUAGUCUCCCAAUUGUUGAGAUAUGACUCCAUGGUAGACGAAACUUUGAAAGAGUCAAUUUCCUCAGAUUGGAAGGGAGAAUGAAUUCCCUGGUAAUAGCGCUUCCAUAGUAAGAUACAUUGAGUGACACCAAAUGAGUUAGAAAAUCUAAUCCUGGAAACUGAUAGGAAUUCUUCGAAGAACCCUGUGGAUGAAAGAAUAUGCAUCUCAGUUUCUGGAGAUUUGGCAACCUCUUUAUUAUUGAUUCUGUAUCUUCACUACAAGAGAGAGAGAGAGACAGGAAAGGCUGACCAAAUCACCCAACUUACAGCAGACUUCAAGCCCUUCAUCAUCCAAUGUGAAAGCAACAUGCAUAUUCACAUGAAGAUGCCUCAACCUUGUCAUGUGCCAAAUAGUAUCUGGUAAGACAACCUGACCACGUAAUCCCUUCAAAACAAAAGUUUCUAGUUUUCGGAGAUUGCCUAUGGAUUGUGGAAUAGUUUGCAUAUAACCAGUGAUUGCCAAAUACCUCAAAUGAACCAGGCAUGUAAUGUCAGCAGGGAAGGUGACACCCAGGUUGAUGCAUUCAAAAUCUAACACCCGCAGAAGUUUGAAGUUGUGCCAAAUGAAUGAGAUGUCAUAAGGACACCUGGGCUCUGAAUCAGCUGAAGGAAAGAAUAUCAAAGAACGAGUACCCAGGCCAAAAGGUCUUGAUUUAAAAAAAUGGAGUCGCUUCAAAAAAAAGCACAAUCGGUAGGCUUCAUAUGUGACAGGAUCAGAAUGAUGGCCAAUUUCAAAACCAAAAUCUGAACUAGGAAAAGAUACAUAUGGCUCAUCAAACCUGGUUACUAGCCGGAAGAAGUUCUGUGCUCUGGCUUUUAACUGACAAAAAUCACGUAACAGAUCGUGCAAGCGACAUGAUUUGACCAUUCCGUUGGAUCUUCUUUUGGAGACUUCCACCAGGCUUCUGCUAAUCAACUCCAUCAAGUAACCCUCGGCAAUACCUUCUAAGCUCUUCAACUCAGAGUCAUGAAUGAAACCUUCAGCAAGCCAAAACCGUAUCAACUUGCUAACAGGAAUAUCCUUGUCUUCAAGGAAAACCCCCAAGUAAAGAAAGCACGGUUUUAGAUAUCCCGGCAAGUGUUUGUAACUCAAUUCUAAGAUUUCCAUGCACCGAGCAUUUGGAUCUUCCAUAACUUCAGCAAUCAAGCUUUUUGCAAUUUUACCCCACGAUUCUGAGCUCUCUUCUAUCCUCUGGAGGAGACCAGAUAUUGCAACAACAGCAAGAGGCAAUCCUUUACACUUUUUGGCAAUUUCCUUACCAACUAGCGACAAUUCUUCAGGACAGCCUUCACCAUGGAAUACUUUCUCUACUAAUAAGGUCCAGCUUUCAUAAUCAGAAAAUAAGCGUAGAGAAUGAGGAUCACUAUCUGGUUCAAUUUGCAAGGCCACAUCACGAAGGCGGCUCGUAAUCAAAAUUCUGCUGCCAUUGGCAUCAUCUGGGAACGAAUUUCUUAACUCAUUCCAAACUCCAGCAUCCCACACGUCAUCCAUAACAAUGAGAAACCUGUUUCUUAGUAAGCACUGACGCAAUUUUAAUUGGAGAUCUUCGUUAGUCAUUUGACGAAUUUCAUCCGUAAGCCCGAGAAUGCCACGUAAAAUCUCCAGCAGCAGUUCUCUUUUGUCAUAUUCUUGUGAAACAGUACACCAUGCACGACAAUGAAAGUGAGACAAAACCUUUUGGCAGUUAAACAGUUUCCAAGCCAUUGUUGUCUUGCCAAUACCGGGCAUUCCCACAAGAGAAACAAUGCCAAACUUUGAGGAUCCCUUGACAAGUUGAUCAGUUAUAGAUUGUUCUUCAUCUCUGGGAUCCACCACCAUUCCAUUGAUUGCCGGUGUAGCAUCCCGUGAUAUCACGUUGGGUGGAACCUGGAUGACGUGUUUGUUAUCUAGGACUUUGGCUUGAGGGGUCGUCAACUGAAUUCUAGAGGCUCGCUUAUUAACAAUUCUUAACUCCUCCAGUAGAUCAUAAACCAAAAAGAAACCUUGCCAUUGAGGAUCGACCUCAAUUGAGUCAAUGACAAACUCAAUUUUAUAAGCAAUAUUGGCAACAUGACCACCAAGAACUUUCACUUCUGGAUAGUCAUCAAUCUCCGACUCUGAGACUUUCAUGAGAAAAGAACCCAGAGACUUGAAAUGUAGAUGAAUUUCUUUUAUGUAAUUCCUGACUGGUUCAAUUGACACAGGAUCAUCGUUCAGCAGUUCCUCUAGGUUUCUGAUGAGAAAUUCAACAAACCCUGUCUUGUAAGUCUUGGGAAAAUCAAACAAUGGAAACUGGGGACUAAUCUCUCUGAGCUUAGACUUGAUAGGAUUCAGCUUAUCUUGCAGUUUAGAGGAUGAGAUGAUCAUAUUGUGGAUGGGUCCUGCCAUCCCUGCAUCAAAUGUUUCAGUUUGUGGGAAGAUCAUGUCCGUGUCCUCUGUCUCCUCCUUUAGCUGGUUGCUGAGAAGUGUGAAAAGAUUAAGGAGCACAAGAAGUGCAAUUUGAUCUUUUCGAUGACCCUCGGAAUUUGCACUCUCAAGUUGUAACUUCUCAAAUAAUGCUUCUGCUUUGAAAACAACAAUGUUAAGAAGCAAUAGGAAAAUUGAGUUUCUCACCGUGGAUUCUGUUAUGCUCUUGGCCUCAAACAACUGACGGAGAGAUGCUACCGUGUAGUCCGCUUGUUUAAUGAAAGCCAAGGCCUUGUUCCAAUAUUCUGCCUCCCCAUGCAGAAGAUUUCCCAAAAAACGUAUCCAUAUUUCUGGCAUCCCCUUGAGCAGAUCUUUAUUUCGGAAAGUGCUCCCUUGAAUGUUACAGUGAAGCAUCCCCUUGAGGAAAAGCUCCGUCUGGAGGAGACAAACAUUUAUACGUAGCUCACCCUUUCGUUCCGUCUGUUUGAGGAACUCCCUCUCUAUGAGCACCGUAUGAAUUUCUGCAAGGAAAUUUGGUAUAGUUUGAUCCUCCUCCUCCUCCUGCUUCAGUUUGAUGAAGGCUAAAAGCUUUAACAGCCCAUAGAUCUCCCCAGAAGAGAUCUCCUUAGAAUAGAUCUUUGGAAUAUCUCUGAACCUCAUUUUAGAGGCAACAUAAUUGCUAUAAUGAGACAUAAAGUCGGGCUUAACUCCUCCCAUUUUUCGGAGAGCUACAAGAAAAUGGAGAUGGAAGUCCACGAACUUGGGAUUAGUUGGAUGAAUCUCAUGUUGCAGAGCCAAUACAGAUUUAGUUACCUGCUUCAUUUCCUCCCUUCUGGUUGUGCCUGCUGUUUUCCUGUCGUUAAUCCGUUGCCUAAGAGUGUGGAUUGCAAUGCGUACCAUCACAGAUGCAACACGAGUUACGAAAUCAUUGAUAACAUUUACGUCAUCACCACCUGCUGCUGCCGCUGCUGCUGGGAAAUCGAGAUCACUGGAUACACCUUCCAUGUAUUCCCCGAACAACCUUAGCUCUUUGCGCCAGGCACCGAUUGGCUCGCUCCAUUUUGUAUCGUCCACAAUAUCGGCCAGAGUGGACACAAAUUGUAACCAAAAAGAAACAUCAGAUGGAGAUUGCAGUCGACAAGACGACCACCCGGAUGAAUCCAAAAGGUGUUCAACAUCUUCUCCGAUCUCUUCGAUCCAUUCGAUGGUUUUAUAGUAAUAAUCAUAGAAAGUUUUGGCAUUUACCGAGGAAAGAAACUUUAUCUGGGUGUUGUUCUUGUUUGUAAUUACAACAUGCCUACCAAUCUCCUCGGCUGCAGCUUCAAUCUUGAAUCCCAUAUUAAGCAGCAUGCGCUCUGCAUCUUCAUCUCUCAUCAGCUUGUGAAUUGCUUCCCAAAUUAACCUCAAAAGCUUCCAAUCUUCCAAGAUGCGAUAGCGUUGACGCCAGUGACCUCUGUUUCCACGCCAAAUUCCACCGACCAUUCCAUUAUUUCUCCGUACAACAUCCAAGAAAAAAACUAUGAUAUCAAAGCUGGAAAUAGCCAUCUCCAGGUCCAGAAUUUUGAUCUCUUACUCGAGCAUACCAGUUCUGUCUGUCAGACUGAUCUGGUAAACACAAAUGCUUUUGAUGUAUGUAUUAGGUGAAAGUUUCACCGUGAAAUGCUAUCCAUGCUUGGCUGAAAUACUCGAGCUCGAUCGAGCAUUUGAUGUUGAACUUGAGUUCGACUCGAUCGAGUGCUCUGUUGACAGAGUUCGACUUGUUAGAGUUCAAAAAAAUUUGGAAUAUAAUAAUAUAAUAAUUAAAUAUUUAAUUAUCGUAACAAAUAAACCUAAAAUAGUAAUUAAUUAUUUUAACAAAUAAACCUAAAGUUAAAAUUUGGAUAACAAUAAUAUAACAAAUAAAUAUUUAACAUAAAACUUGAGUGGAGUGCUCUAUUCACAAAGCUCGAACUCGAUUUGUUAGAGCUUAAAAAAUUUUGAAAAUAAUAAAAUAAUAAUUAAAUAUUUAAUUAUUGUAACAAAUAAACCUAAAAUUGUAAUUUGGAUAAUAAUAAAAUAAUAAUUAAAUAUUUAAUUGAAUACUCAAUAGAAUUCGUCCAGCCUUCAAGUCUUCGUUAUUAUUAAUAUUCGAAUUUGAUUUGAAAACUUAAUUAGGUAACUUGAACUCGAUUCAAACUCGAUCGAUAUUGAUCGAAUUCAAUGGAGCAAUUAAUCGAGCUGCUAGCGAGCUCGAGUCAAGCUGCUCAAUUAAAUCUUACCCUUAUCCCCAAUGGACGAGGGCCUCACAAUUUGAGGCAAUAUCCAAUUCGGACAAAUCCGGUCAAGAUCAAAUUGUGAUAACGAGACAGCCACGAUUUACUAUUUAGUGGGUCGACAGCGCAGUAUCAAUUCGCAUGGGGAGGGAAAAAUCAAAAUUGAGGGCUAAUGAAAAGACCUCGUUUGUAGAAUUCAUUGUCCUCUCAUUAGACAUAGAGGUGAAGAAUCAAAGAUGAAGACUACUCAUAGCUAAGAAAUUAUCCAACAUAGGGAGAUAAAGUCUCAGAUUCUUCAACUUUUUGGGAAGUGAAAUUUUGCAGUCCUAACAAAUUCGAGAUUUAUUGAGGCUUUGCUUGUUGGUUCAUAAUUUAACUAAAAAAAUUUUUUCUCAUAUCAUCAAAGUAUCAAGUAUGUUCUUGGGUUUUCAGAAAAUUCAUGGAUAUUGGAAAUUUUUUUCUUCGUUUAUUGUAAUUACAAGGGGACACAAAAGGCAUUUGUUUUUUUCCAUACAUGUGAAGAAUUCUCAAUACUUAAUGACUGCUAUAAGAAGAAAAUUAGCAAAAAUCCUAACUCUCUAAUUAUCCAAAUCGAAUGGUAGAACUGUUAUGAGUUCGCCCAGUGAAAACAUUUUGAUCGUGAUGUGAAUUGCUUUUAGAUACAAAACUUUGGAAGAAACUUGUUCGUUGCUUUAUUCGAUUUUGGUUAGCUUAUAAGUAGUUGUUGGGCUUGGGCAUUCACACCACUGGUUAUCAUUUAUGCACGCAACUGCUCUGGCCGCCAACAUUUCACGAUAGAGAAAUAAUCUGCAGUUCUGUAAGAAACACUGAUAUUGAUAUCUGAAACCGGAAUUUCAAUUUGCUAAAUGCAGUUAAAGAGUUUUACUAGAUAUAUUCUCGAGUAUGAAAACCAGCUUAAAGCAAAACGAAAUCAAUUUUCUAAAGAUCUAAAACAAAAAUCUAGCAGAUUACUUUAAAGCCAACCAAAAUCUGCAUGAUUAGAAUUUCAGUUUGCUUCAGUAGGUAUAAUCUAGAGGACCAACAAAACCAACUUAAACAAAUUGAAUUCACCUUUCCAAAGAUCUCAAGCAAUAAUUGAUAGUUGAGUAUCCAGAUUGAGCAAAACAUUCCAUUGCAUGGAAGUUGAAUUAAGAAACACAUCAUCUCACAAAUGAAUCGAGAGAAGACUAAGUUACUGAAAUUUGAUUAUCUUACAAGUUCGGGGAGUAAUACAACAGAAUCCACAAUCAUACUAUGAACUACUAAUAAGAACUUUGAUGUCCCCAGUUGCUUCCCUGAUUCUUUUUGCAGACU